AGUCUCCAGCACCGCGCUUGUCCCCUUCGCGACAGUCAGGGGAAGGCGCGGGCGGGAAGCUGCCCCCCUUCACGUUCUUGUCAGCUCAGCCGAGCCACCUCCCCGCGGGGCAGCCCCCCCAGUCCCCAUCCCCCCGGUGUUGGCGGGACCGGGAGAGGCGGCGGCGCCGUGUCCCGGUGGCGAAUCUGCGGCGCAGAGCGGGGAGGGGGGGAGGGCGGCGCCUCACGGCCGCAGGUUUGGCGCCUUUUUCCCCUCAGAGGGAGCGCGCGGCGCCCUGAGGCGCCCGGGCUGCACAGGCGGCGGCUGGAGAGACGCUGUGGUGUAAUGUGCGACUAACCCCAUAAAGACAGGCGCUAAGGUCAGGUGAACGGCCCUGUGGGGAGCCCUGCGUCUGUGUAAGGGGUGAGGUGAGGUGCUGAAAUAGUGGUUUGGGAAUGGCAUCCCUUCAGAAAAGGUUGAGCAGGAUGUGGCCCUCCGUCUGGUCGUGCUUGCCGUGCCAUGAGGAAAGGUGGGAGGAUGCCAGUGCGUCGAUGAAAGGUGUGAACAGAAGGCGGCCUAGGGGAAGCCUGUGCAGUGGUGUGAAGGAAUGCUGGUCAUAUGGGCUAUGGGAGAGAUCCUAGUUUAUAAAUCUGUGUAGUUUAUAAUUUUGAACUAAGUCAGACUUGAGACAGCUAGCUGCUGAGUACAGGGGAUUGUGAAUUACAGAAUAGACUGGAAGCAGUGGAAUUAUCCAGAACAAUUUCUUGCAGAAAUUUCUGAAGGUAUCAUACACAGAGGUAAAAAGCUUGCAAAUACAAACUACAUUACACCAUAUGGCUCUGAUUGUGUGAGGAAGAUGAAGAAUUUCAGAUCCCAGCAUUCAGCACAGGAGUGUUUUUUGGUUUUUUUUUUUUUUUUUUUUUACAGUGAAAAUUGUUAAUGUGACUGAAUUAAAUAUGAAAACUUAAAGUUUGGCAUUGAAAUUCUGUCACACAGCUAAUAGGGCUGAUUUCGAGACAUCCAUAAAGGAGGAUUUUGGUGGAGCUGGUGAAUGUGGCAGCUGAAGGAAAGCCAAACAGAUGAUACCAACCAAACCUAAAAAUACAGCAGAAGGUGAAAAGGAAAACUGAAUAUGAUACCGGGUUGCUGCAAGUCAGGCCCAUUUCUUCUUGAUGCCUACGUUUUGGGCCUUUUUGCUUUCGUUCUUAAAUCAACCAUAUUUUUAGGAACAAGUAUAGAGACAAGAACACUGCUCUCAUCUGCCUAUAGUGUGCUGUCUGUGGCCACAAUGGAAGCCUGUUGACAUGCAGCAGAAUAACCUAUGACUUCCGUAUGAUAAUUAAAGUAAGAAUUGAAAAGAUUCCUCAGUCAACCAGCCAAAUAUGUCUCUUUAGUCUACCAGUUCCACCUGUGCAGAAUAUUUGUAAAGAGAAGGUGUAAAGGAAACACCUGGGUACGAGAUCCCUGUAGGCUAAAGGCAGAGCUUCAUGUUUUCAGCACCUCCUGGAACCACAGCCGUGAAAUCAGGCAUGGAGAAGACCUUCUGAUCAUUCUCCAUCUUUUGCUACUUCAAGAUUUUGCAGCUAAUACCCCUUGUAUUUUAAAUGGCUUAGAUGUUCCAUCCCUGCUUUAACCAUUUCUCCCCUUAUACCAGUUACAUUUCUAACAUUUGGCUUCGUUCCAAAACUACUGACUUCUCUAGUUCCCUGCAUGCUUUGCACUGGGCAUUGUUUUUCCCUUUCCCCCUCCAUUUCCUCUUUCUGCAUGCCCUGAUACAACUUUUCGUAAUGUCCUCUUCAUUCUAAUCACUUGUGAAACUACUACCACCUUGGUAAGUUACUGGAUAAGAACAAAUGUCAAAGUGGACCUAAAACGUGAAAAAAAUAGUAAAAAUGUCUCCAGAUUUCCAAAUAAGGAAGG